rnacentral:rRNA from 1 species
AGUGAACGCUGGCGGUAGGCCUAACACAUGCAAGUCGAACGGCAGCACAGUAAGAGCUUGCUCUUACGGGUGGCGAGUGGCGGACGGGUGAGGAAUACAUCGGAAUCUACUUUUUCGUGGGGGAUAACGUAGGGAAACUUACGCUAAUACCGCAUACGACCUACGGGUGAAAGCAGGGGAUCUUCGGACCUUGCGUGAUUGAAUGAGCCGAUGUCGGAUUAGCUAGUUGGCGGGGUAAAGGCCCACCAAGGCGACGAUCCGUAGCUGGUCUGAGAGGAUGAUCAGCCACACUGGAACUGAGACACGGUCCAGACUCCUACGGGAGGCAGCAGUGGGGAAUAUUGGACAAUGGGCGAAAGCCUGAUCCAGCCAUGCCGCGUGAGUGAAGAAGGCCUUCGGGUUGUAAAGCCCUUUUAUUGGGAAAGAAAAGCAGCAGGUUAAUACCCCGCUGUUCUGACGGUACCCAAAGAAUAAGCACCGGCUAACUUCGUG